CUCGUCGUCGUCGUCGUCGUCGUCGUCGUCGUCGUCUUCGUAGAAAUGUGACGAUCACGUAUAUUUUAGUAACAUCGGUGUUCAUAAUGCGGCCAUGCACAUCUGGUGGGAGCCGGUUGAAACGUCGACAAUCAAAAUUGCUACAUGUGAUAACUCUUCGGUUGUACACCUACUACACCUGAGAGUUUACAUUUGAAAGUUUGGCACUGAAUUUGUUAACUUUGGAAGAUUUAACAGAUAUACCAUGAGUUUAUAGUAAUGAAGACAAAUAAUGGAAGUUUUCGUUGCUUGACAAUUUUGAAAUGGGACUAGGUAAAAAGAGCGAAACCAUUAAUUGAUGGUAAAACCGCGACAAUACAAGUUAAGAGAAUAAACAAAAUAUUCAAGAGCUGAAAUACGAAGAAUUAUUUACAGCGAAUUUUAAUAAUAAGAAAAAACAUAUAAAGACAUAGCAAAAAAAUAGAAAUUAUGGUCAAUGAACGAUUAAAAUACCAAACAGAGAAUUGUAAUAAUGAAUAAUGUGCUAAACCGGUCAGGACAUUCAUUGAAGCUUUUCACACGGAAUUUUAAACGUAAUACGAGACGCAGAAAUGAUAGUAAUAACAUUAAAAUAACUUAACCUAACUUACAUCGAACAAGAUAUAUUAUUUUUGACAACAUGAUAAUUUUUUUACAAUAACAAAAUAUUGUAAUUUAAAAAUACUAAUAACGUUCGAUAUAGGCAACACAACAUACCGGUAAUUACAUUUUAAUAUUAUGCAGUUUAUAGAAUACAGUAUACGCUGCCGUGAAUAUUAUUAAAACGUUACAGAUUAAUUUUUAUAUUUUUAACGAUCUCGUUGGACAUUGGUGCCGUUCGCUGCAAUGUUUUAACCAAAAAAAAAAAAAAUACCGUUAUAACUUCAUGGGUAUUAUACUGAUUAUUAUACAGUUUUAGAAUUGAAGUGCGCUCAGAGGGCACUAGACCGGCGAAUUAUUAUUUAUUAAUGUAUAUAUAAGUGAAUUCAAAAAUAUUACGUUUUUACGUUUUAUCUGUUACAUUAAAUAAUUGUGUAAUAAUUAUUUAAUUAUAUUUUUUUUGGCAUUAUAAUUUCAGUGAAGAUACUUACACGAUUUUCAUACAGUGUUAAUAGUUAUAAUUACUAAUUUUUGUUCGUAUAUUGUUACUAGUUAGUUCCUUCUAUUUUUACAAUUUGUUUUAAAAAGUAAUCCAAUAACUGUUAUUGUUUUAUUUUUAAAUAGGUACAAUCUCUUAUA